GUUAGUGGCAAACGGGUGAGUAACACGUAGAUAACCUGCCUCAAAGUCAAGAAUAGUCUCCCGAAAGGGAAAGUAAUACUUGAUAGUCUCGCUUCACGAAAGUGCUUGCGAGUAAAGCUUUUGCGCUUUGAGAGGGGUCUGCGUCCUAUCAGCUUGUUGGUGAGGUAAUGGCUCACCAAGGCUAAGACGGGUAGCUGGCGUGAGAGCGCGGUCAGCCACAAUGGAACUGAGAACGGUCCAUACUCC
rnacentral:rRNA from 1 species